rnacentral:rRNA from 1 species
AGAACACAGUGCUGCAUGGCUGUCGGUCAGCUCGUGUCGUGAGAUGUUGGGUUAAGUCCCGCAACGAGCGCAACCCUUGUCACUAGUUGCCAUCAUUUGGUUGGGCACUCUAGUGAGACUGCCGGUGACAAACCGGAGGAAGGUGGGGGAUGACGUCAAGUCCUCAUGGCCCUUAUGGGUAGGGCUUCACACGUCAUACAAUGGUCGGUACAGAGGGUUGCCAAGCCGCGAGGUGGAGCCAAUCCCUUAAAGCCGAUCGUAGUCCGGAUCGUAGUCUGCAACUCGACUACGUGAAGUCGGAAUCGCUAGUAAUCGCAGAUCAGCAUGCUGCGGUGAAUACGUUCCCGGGUCUU